CCUACGGGAGGCAGCAGUGCGGAAUUUUGGACAAUGGCGGAAACCCUGAUCCAGCAAUGCCGCGAGUGCGAAGAAGGGCUUCGGGUUGUAAAGCACUUUUGUCAGGGUAGAAAUCCUUUGGGCUAAUACCCUAGGGGGAUGACGGUACCUGAAGAAUAAGCACCGGCUAACUACGUGCCAGCAGCCGCCGUAAUACGUAUGCUGCAAGCGUUAAUCGGAAAUACUGGGCGUAAAGCGUGCGCAGGGGCUUGUGUAAGACAGGUGUGAAAUCCGCGGGCUUAACGUGCGAAUUGCAUUAGUGACUGCACGACAA
rnacentral:rRNA from 1 species